GGGGGGGGGAGGGAGGGGAGGGAAUCAAUUUUGAGGGAACAAUAAAAUUGAUUCUAAAACAAUAUGCCCACCAUAUCAAUAGAUCACCAAUUUAGUUUUACAAAAACCAAUACAAUUAUGGUGCAAUCAGAUAAGAGAUAACUAUCAUUAUUCUUCUUCAUUGCAUAAUUUCAAAUGCCUGAGUGAAAAGAAUAAUCAGUUACCAAAACAUUGGCUGAGAAAACACAUGCCACACUAGCUUCCUGAAAAUUGAACGUCUAACUUCUCGUUCAGACUCCCCUUAAAUAUAUUAGAGCUUGAAUUUGUCAUAAUGAAACAGCUUCCAAAGUUUGAUAGACAUGAAUGUUACCAGAGACUACACUCAAGAAAGUGAAAUAAAAUUGCAAACCACAAACCAAAAAAUACUCUGUUGGCCUUUAGUUGAGUACCUAUCAAGCUAGGACUCUUAAUAAAUAAGUAAAACACACUGUUACAACCAAAAUUCAAUUUUCUACUUGCAUAUUGAUGCUUUCAUCAUAUACAGAUCAUGACUUGAGAAUCGAAGAAUACAUAAAUUGACACCUGGAAUUUAACCCAAAAGUCUGGUAGCAUCCUUAACUUUCAUUAUAACCUGUUAAGCACUUCAAAUUUCAUUUUUAUUUAAACACUCAUAAAGCAAAUUAAUUUAAGGUGAAAGACUCACGUGCUACUGCAUUAAAAAACUGACAUCUGGACAACUUUUUUGUUGUUCUGGAGAGGUUUAACACAUUCCAAUUUUUCUCUCAAGAAUCAUCCUCGAUUGAUGAAUGGCAAAUGACGCUUGAAUCCAUUUGGAAUGAAUCAGAGUAGGAAACAAUAUUUUGUGUGAAUGAUUAAAUAAUGUUCUCAAGAAUUUUCUUUCUUUAUUUUCGAAAAUGACUACCUUGCCUGCUGGAGUCUGUGCUUGUAGUUGCAAUCUCUCUCUCUCUCUCUCUCU
rnacentral:misc_RNA from 1 species